UCAUCCGAGGCUUUCUUCUAAGCAGGACUAGAAGAAGUGAAACAUUCCUCAUUGUUCAGUCAGUAUUUAGAAUAAACUGAGUUGAAAUGGUGGUGUGAAGCUGUGACGCGUGAAUGCUUUCAAUUAUUUCAACAUUACUUGUAAUUGUGAUUUUCAUAAACUAGCUUCGGAUUAUCAGUAUGCGAUACAAUGUUUGUUCGUUCAUUACAAGGUUUUGCUAUUCUGUUGUGCUAUUGCGUGAUAAAUGCAUUACGCAUUACCAACUUCAGUGUGCCAGAGAAAGCUGAUCAUGGAUCAAUGGUAAUUCUCCGAUGUGAUUUUGAAUUGGGGAGAUGAAAAACUAAACUCACUCAAAUGGUACAAAGAUGAAGUGGAGUUCUAUAGAUACAUUCCUCGAGAAAACUCUGAAAAGCAAGUCUUUCCUCAAACUGGAAUAACUGUUGACGUAAAGCGCUCGAACCGGAAUCAAGUGGUCUUGAAAAAUCUAACAUUCGAAAGUAACGGAAAAUACGAUUGUGAAGUCUCUUCAGAUAGACCCACUUUCCAGACUGAUACGAUGAGCGGAAAUCUCACGGUUUAUGCUUACAGUCCUUAUGACCCCUACAUAAAUGGAUUUUCCACAUCAUACUUACCUGGAGAGUUGAUUCAAGCGAACUGUUCAGCGGGGCCCUUCCAACCCACAGCCACAAAUUGAGUGGUUCAUCAAUGAAGAAGAGGCAGCACUCAACCAUCUAAUCACAUAUCCAUCGAUAAAUUCGUCAAAUGGGAUGUACUACAAAGUGGUUGGUUUGAGGUUCAUUGCAAUGGAAACCGAUUUCAAACCACCAAGGGACACAAUCACUUUCCAAUGCAAAGUGUCAGUUGGCCUAAUGGAGCCAUGGAAUGCGUUUCAAAUCAUUCACAAGAAAUUGCAGCCUUACCUGGUCGGUCGACCUUUCAUUGCCGAUGAGAGACCCACCAAUCACUGUUAUGGCGACUCUCCUCAAAGUAAUAUUGUCACUUUCAUUUCUAUUAUAGUAUUAGUCACGAUUCAAUUUCAAUUCCUUGUUUGAGAGUUUUUAAAAUGUUCAUAAUAUCGUUAAUAUCUAGUUAAAAUGAUAGUUAACUUCGAACAUUUUUGACACCAUUCCUAACUUCAGCUUCAGAGAAUUGAUUUGUAAAUACAGUAUGUUACGACCAAUUGUCAAAAUUGUUACCUAUCUGUUAUGCAUAUAUUUUAUCAAGACCAUUAAAGUUAUAAUCUUAUUGGCUGCGGAUUAUUUAUCAUACAGUAGUUAUACCUAUUCUGUAAAGAUAAAAAAAAUAUCAGAAAAUA